rnacentral:rRNA from 1 species
GGGCGGGACACGUGGUAUCCUGUCUGAAUAUGGGGGGACCAUCCUCCAAGGCUAAAUACUCCUGACUGACCGAUAGUGAACCAGUACCGUGAGGGAAAGGCGAAAAGAACCCCGGCGAGGGGAGUGAAACAGAACCUGAAACCGUGUACGUACAAGCAGUGGGAGCCCCACCACCAAAGCGUUUCGCUUUGCGUGGUGCGCAAAAUGCGUAACGACAGCACGAUUGCGGUUAACGGAGCGUAAGCGACGUUCAACACAAAAAUCAGGCAGUGGAGCGUUUUGGGGUGGGGUGACUGCGUACCUUUUGUAUAAUGGGUCAGCGACUUAUAUUCUGUAGCAAGGUUAACCGCAUAGGGGAGCCGAAGGGAAACCGAGUCUUAACCGGGCGUUAAGUUGCAGGGUAUAGACCCGAAACCCGGUGAUCUAGCCAUGGGCAGGUUGAAGGUUGGGUAACACUAACUGGAGGACCGAACCGACUAAUGUUGAAAAAUUAGCGGAUGACCUGUGGCUGGGGGUGAAAGGCCAAUCAAACCGGGAGAUAGCUGGUUCUCCCCGAAAGCUAUUUAGGUAGCGCCUCGUGAAUUCAUCUCCGGGGGUAGAGCACUGUUUCGGCCAGGGGGCCAUCCCGGCUUACCAAUCCGAUGCAAACUGCGAAUACCGGAGAAUGUUAUCACGGGAGACACACGGCGGGUGCUAACGUCCGUCGUGAAGAGGGAAACAACCCAGACCGCCAGCUAAGGUCCCAAAGUCAUGGUUAAGUGGGAAACGAUGUGGGAAGGCCCAGACAGCCAGGAUGUUGGCUUAGAAGCAGCCAUCAUUUAAAGAAAGCGUAAUAGCUCACUGGUCGAGUCGGCCUGCGCGGAAGAUGUAACGGGGCUAAACCAUGCACCGAAGCUGCGGCAGCGACACUGAUGUGUUGUUGGGUAGGGGAGCGUUCUGUAAGCCGUUGAAGGUGUGUCGUGAGGCAUGCUGGAGGUAUCAGAAGUGCGAAUGCUGACAUAAGUAACGAUAAAGCGGGUGAAAAGCCCGCUCGCCGGAAGACCAAGGGUUCCUGUCCAACGUUAAUCGGGGCAGGGUGAGUCGACCCCUAAGGCGAGGCCGAAAGGCGUAGUCGAUGGGAAACGGGUUAAUAUUCCCGUACUUGGUGUUACUGCGA